CAUGGCCCACCCAGCUCCAAGCAAUGCUGGAGCCCAAACAGGGCGUUAAGUAAUCAACUUGAAGAUGUUUGCACUGCUUGGGGUCUUUGGUUUGCAAAGAUUGGGGUCAGAAGCUUUCUCUCUUUUAUACUUUAAUAAAACUAUAUUACACAAAAGCUCUGAGCGAUCAAGCUUCGUCACUGGCCCCAGAUUGAAUUCUUCUCCUCUGGAGGCAAGAAUCCCAGUGUCUUCCGUGGUUCAGCAACAAACUUUCAUCUUGGGGGCUCAUCCGGGAUUCUUCAGGACAAGGGUAAGCCAAGGGAAGAAUGUUCUAACAGAGGUUCUGAGGAAGUCAUGUUUCCAGAAUGUGCCCAGAAUGCUGGCAAUCUGCUACCAGAUCACCGAGCAUCGCUGCCUACAUGAACGAAUGGAAUGGGACGCAGACGCUCCUCCAAAGGCACAGCCACGGGCAAGCCACAAGGCAAGUGACAUUGUUGGAAAUGGAGAAAUGCAUGAAAGAAUUUUCCUUGCAGUCUACAUUCACACAUACACUUCUCUUGGAUUAAAGAGAAAUUUAUUGAACAUCACCAUAUGGAAUGUUUUCAAAGAGCAGAUUUCUUUUCUCAGGCAGACUUCCCAAAGGCAGGAGUGAACGAAACACAAAGAUGGGUGUUGUUGAGAACAUCUGAAACGGGAUCACGCGGAGCUAUUCGCAUCUCACUACCAAGCCUCAGGACCCAGGUCUUGGCUUGGUCUUCUGUACAUUCUGAGCCUCAAGGCCUACCAUCCUCAGCUCAGGAUACCCAUCUCACUUGGAACCAGGUGACUUGUUACUUGAGUUUUAAAAGGAACUGCUUGGGAUGAAUAACUUCUGACUUAAGAAUAAACUCUAAAUCCCCUGAAACUAAGUCUCCUAACUCCCCAAAACAAUGGCCUUCUGUCAUCCAUUUCCCUAACUGCUUGGAUCAUGAGGUCAACAACAAGUAGCAAGAGGAAAAAUCAGCUCCUAAACUGAUGGUUCUUUAGGCUAAGGUUUUCUUUUGGCUGCUAAGGUUAUAAUUUCCUGUGUUUUCCAUUUUCACAAUUCAAAUGGAGAAAGAGCAAUAUUUUAUCAACUGACAUUCAAUCAAGACAACUCGAUGGGUCAAAGAAGAAAAAGCAUCAAGUUACCCAGGUGUAUAAAGCGCUUCUACGCAAUGCUUUACAAGACUUAGCUCUCCCUGAUGACUUGCUCAGUGUCUGCCAUUGGUGACCAUAGGACUGUGGACAUGAGCCUCCACCAGAAACGGAUGAUCUUUGGGGAAUGUAGUUCUGAGUAAAACUCACUUUCCAGCAUAUCUGGAAAGGGACAGAAGUGUUGCAAGGACACAAAAGUGUUGAUGUUUUAAUGAAAGAUAGUCGAGAUCAUAAGAAUAAUCAAUCACUGAUAACGUCCAAGAGACAAUCACGUACGGACAGGGAGGACCAGGCACUCGGUCCUCUCCCUGACUUUACAAGGCGGGUGUCCGUAUCCCCGGGGACAGCAGAAGCGACAGGCUGUGCCAGGUCUCACAGCCAUGUGGGGUGAGGCCAGGCUGGCCCCGGGUCCCUAGACCUCAGAGCCCUAGACCCUGAACCACUGCACCACGCUCUCUCGUUCACUGAAAGAACCGUGGACACACCUCACGUGCCAAGAGCAGGGGUGCCAACUGUUAUUCUUUUCCAUCAAUCUGCCAGAUAAGGGAAACAUGAGGGGUCAGGCAGAUCUCAGGAGAUGGAGGCCACAGACUGUCGAUAGAAAAUCACUAUGGAUGAUGAGUGCAUUCAGCACUCCAAAAGGACACGGGUGACCUGCAGUUAAACCUGCAAAUUCCAUCUUUCACUCCCUUAUUUACAGAAUACCAAAGAAAAGAACAUCCAGUUAUUCACUUCUGAAAGCAAUUUUUGGAAGAGUGAGGAAGGGCUCCAACUAGGUCAGCUAAUUAUUCAACUUGUUUCCUUUGUUUUCAAAAUGGGGGGUCACCUUCUCCUCCGGAGGGCUCAAGGUUUAGAACACAGACACCUCAGGAUCAGUGUCGGCCUGCUGUGGUUAACACGGCAGUCUUUGAGCUCAUUCUUAGCAGUGACACAAACUAACCCUGCCAAGAAAAUGGCCAGGAAAUGGAAAGUAUGGAGACGGGGAGGUGUGAGCUAGUCCCCGCUCUGACCCUGUCAUGUACUGGACCUCUGCUGAAAUGAGGGACGCGUGAUGGGAAGAACAUCUGGCUAUCAGGCAAGAGACUCAAACUCAAGCCCCGAUUUCCUCACCAAGUGACUGAGUGAUGUUAGAGCAUUUCCAUGUUCUAGGCAGUUUUCUGUAAAGCUGAGGGAUUAAUCAGUGGUUCUCAAGUUGUGAUGAGGAUCAAGAUCACCUGGCAAGUUUGCUAACCGUUCCAGACACAGGCCUAAGAAUUCUUGGUUCAGGUGGCCCAAGAAUCUGCAUUUCAAGGCAUCCUGGGGACUCUGAUGCUGCUGGGUCCUCCUCAAGGUAGAGCCACGGCGGCUGCCGAAACAGCGGGCCAGUGACCUCAGGGACUGUCUGCUCAACAGCUUCCCCACGGGUUGGCUGGACACAAGCUGAAGAGACAAGACAGGUGGCAGGCCACCAGGGCCCUGGAACACCACAUGCCCAUGAGGUUCACACCUCGGAUGGGUUCUCCUGAAGCCAGGACCCCCCUCCCACUUUCCAGGGUGGCGGCCCAUCUAUAACGUCCCUGCGGAGUCACAAAUCCCCCCAUACUACCCUGAACUGCUGAAAAGUGAAAGUAAAGUCACUCAAUCAUGUCCAACUCUUUGUGACCCCCUGGACUGUAGCCUACCAGGCUCCUCCAUCCAUGGGAUUUUCCAGGCUAGAGUACUGGAGUGGGUUGCCAUUGCCUUCUCCAGGAGAUCUUCCCUACCCAGGGAUCGAACCCGGGUCUCCCACAUUGCAGACAGAUGAUUUACCAGGGAAGUCUAAGAGAAUACAAUCAAUUACAGUUCUCUCUGAUUCCAAGUACAUGGGGCAAAGCAAACCCUGAGAUGUGACUCAAUCAACCAAUGAACCAUAAAGGAAGUGACGACUUCCCUGAAGAAACCCAACUUCUGUAGAAAAAAUGGAAGUUAUCUAUAAGAUCCAAACACAAAGACAGGGAUAUCAAUGAGGAGGAAAGAAGCGGGGGGAGCAGAGCACAGUGGUUGGAACCCCCAGGCUAGUCAGCAGUUAUCCUGGGCUCCAACCUCACCUGCAUUGUCCGUCAACCACAGACAAACCACCAAGCCACUCCACUCACUCACCUCCAACCUAGGAACAACGGCGGUAUUUUAGAGGAAGACAGAUUAAAUAAUAAACAUUCUGAGAAUAGUGCCUGACACAGUGGAGGAAGUUCUUUAAAUGAAACUACAAAGAAAUCCAUUUUAUCAUUUGUCAGUGAGGACUUGAAAGGUAAUACCCCAGAAAUGGCAUAAAUAUAAGAAACCAGGCAAAAAGGAAGAAAUAAUUCCCAAGGUUCCUGCUCUUAGAAUUUUUCAGAAUACUGCCAUGUCCAUUGCUUCAAAUUAAUUUGGGCUGCCUGGAAACUUCUGAACUUCCGAGAUCUAUUUCUCAGAUCUCUAAUCAAUAAUUUUCAGACACUACAAACUUAUCUGUUUCUAUCUCAGUAUUUAAUAUAUAUUUUGUCCCCAUGCUUCCAGCUUAAAUAACAUUAUAUGGUUUAUCUUAUUAAUGAUAGCAAUUUGCUAACAGCACUUAAUAAAAGUUUUUUUUCCUGUUAACCAUAAUUUAAUUAGAAAUUUUUCCUAAAUAAAUGGAGUGUGUAUGCAGAAGGAAGUGGCAACCCACUCCAGUAUUCUUGCCUGGAGAAUUCCCAUGGACAGAGGAGCCUGGGAGGUUACAAUCCAUUGGGUCGCAAGAGUCGGACAUGAUCAAAUCACAUACAUGUGAGGUAUAUGUGUGUAUACAAACAGAGAUGUGUAUAUACACACAUACAUAUAUGUAUUUCUGGUUUUUUUCUUUUCUUGGACAAGAUUUUCUCUUCUUAAUUUCAAAAGUGUCAGGAAGACUGAUGAAAGUGAUUACAUCUGAAGUUCUUUUUUUUUUUUUCCCCUGCAUGUGGCUUGCAGGAUCUUAGUUCCCCAACCAGGAACUAAACCCAGGCCACAGUGGUUGGAAGUGCCAAGUCCUAACUGGUGGACCCCUAGGGAACUCCUGACCUUAAGUUCUGAGUUCAGAGCUACAUGUUGCUCACGAGUUAUGACAGCGUUGGCCCUAUUAGAUUUUUCACAUUCUUUUUCUUCAUGAUGUUCUGAGCUGAGACAGAAUUUGAAUCCAGGUGUAAAUGGCCAUACAUUCCACUUCUUCUUUUUUUUUUUAACUAUACAGCAUUUCAGAAGUUGAAAGGUGAAAAUAAUAAAAUAUAACACAUUUAUAAAUCAUAUGGAAAGGAGUUAAUAUCACUAAAAAUUGCAAAAAGAAGCUACUCACCAAACUAAACACAUUUACUACAAAUAUCCCCUCAGUGAUGUGUAUGUUUUGAAAAAUAAGGAUUUGUAU